AUGAAUAUCCUAAGCUGGAACUGCCGAGGAGGGGGGAGUCCUCGAACAGUUCGUGAUCUUGUGAGUCUCGUGCAGACUCACUCCCCUAGUAUCGUUUUUCUAUGUGAAACGAGGCAAUCCAAGAAUAAAAUGAGUAAGUACCGUGAUCGGUUAGGGCUCAAGGGUUUUGAUGGUUUUGAUAGUGUCGGUCUCAGCGGAGGUCUCACGUUGUUUUGGCAUGAGUCUGUG
rnacentral:rRNA from 1 species